UACGUAUGGUGCAAGCGUUAUCCGGAUUUACUGGGUGUAAAGGGGGCGUAGGCGGCGCGUUAAGUCUGAUGUGAAAACCCGAGGCUCAACCACGGGAGUGCAUUGGAAACUGGCGUGCUGGAGUGCCGGAGAGGUAAGCGGAAUUCCUAGUGUAGCGGUGAAAUGCGUAGAUAUUAGGAGGAACACCAGUGGCGAAGGCGGCUUACUGGACGGCAACUGACGCUGAGGCUCGAAAGCGUGGGGAGCAAACAGG
rnacentral:rRNA from 1 species